CCCGCAUGGGCCUGAGGCCCGUUUUUCUUUUCUUUGGCCCAGCCCCUUUCCUUUCUUCUUCUUCCUUCCUCCUUCCCCCCUCCGCCUCUGCAAUUCACGAGCAGCAACGACGACGCGCUGGAGGACGGCCUACAGGGAAGAGAGAGGAGUAGGCCGGCAGCAGAUGGGACGCACUGUCAAAGCGGAGCAAGUGGGCAACUGAGGAGACGCCGGUUCGGCCGCACCAAGGCGGUCGGCGUGCCAAGGACCGGCGGCCGAAGCCUCCGUCGACCGGCCCCCCUUUGCCUAUAAAUAGGGAAUCGUGGGGAAGGCCAAAGACACACGGAAGGAGCGAGCUCAGACGACUUCCCUCGAGAGACAUCAGGGGAGGCCCGAAAGCGAGCGAGAUCUGAACAGAGAGAUCUGAGUGAGGGCGAGUUUUGAGAGUCGGUGAGAGCAAAGGCGAGCCUUCGGCAACCUUCGCACCGACGGACCAACGUCGCGCCGUCCCGAAGCCAGACCGUAAGCUCCCUCCCGACCCCUGUCUUUGCCCUGUUUGGGGCACGCUAAGCCGGAGCUUGCGGCCGUCCAGCCACCGCGAGCUCCGGCCUUGUCAUGGCGUUGCUGGCCAGGCGAGGGCAGGGCGCUCGGCUUGGGUCGGCUGAGGCGACGCCGGUGGACACCCUCAGCCGGGCCGAGGCGACUGACGCCACUCGUGUCAGCCGUCUCCGUCGCUGAGAGGAGAGGGGCGCGAUGCCGGGUAGGGAACCGGGUCGGAUGCGGGUCUUGGCCGGGUAGGGUUCAGCUGCUGGGAGAGAGAAGUGGGCUGGGCUUGUUUUUAUUUGGUUCUGGGUCUAACUCGCGGGCCGGGCAUGUCUUUUAAUGGAAAGUGGGCUUGAUUUGUUUGGACUUCGAUUAUUUUAAAAAAAAGAUGGAG
rnacentral:lncRNA from 1 species